rnacentral:rRNA from 1 species
GCAUAUCAAUAAGCGGAGGAAAAGAAACCAACAGGGAUUGCCCCCAGUAACGGCGAGUGAAGCGGCAACAGCUCAAAUUUGAAAUCUGGCCCUAGGCCCGAGUUGUAAUUUGCAGAGGAUGCUUUUGGCGCGGUGCCUUCCGAGUUCCCUGGAACGGGACGCCAUAGAGGGUGAGAGCCCCGUACGGUUGGACACCAAGUCUUUGUAAAGCUCCUUCGACGAGUCGAGUAGUUUGGGAAUGCUGCUCAAAAUGGGAGGUAUAUUUCUUCUAAAGCUAAAUAUUGGCCAGAGACCGAUAGCGCACAAGUAGAGUGAUCGAAAGAUGAAAAGCACUUUGAAAAGAGGGUUAAACAGCACGUGAAAUUGUUAAAAGGGAAGCGCUUGUGACCAGACUUGCGUCCGGUGAAUCACCCAGCUCUCGCGGCUGGGGCAUUUUGCCGGCUCAGGCCAGCAUCAGCUUGCCGUCGGGGACAAAAGCUUCGGGAACGUAGCUCUCUUCGGGGAGUGUUAUAGCCCGUUGCAUAAUACCCUUCGGUGGGCUGAGGUACGCGCUCCGCAAGGAUGCUGGCGUAAUGGUCAUCAGCGACCCGUCUUGAAACACGGACCAAGGAGUCAACCUUAUGUGCGAGUGUUUGGGUGUUAAACCCCUACGCGUAAUGAAAGUGAACGCAGGUGAGAGCUUCGGCGCAUCAUCGACCGAUCCUGAUGUUCUCGGAUGGAUUUGAGUAAGAGCAUAUAGGGUUGGACCCGAAAGAAGGUGAACUAUGCGUGUAUAGGGUGAAGCCAGAGGAAACUCUGGUGGAGGCUCGCAGCGGUUCUGACGUGCAAAUCGAUCGUCAAAUAUGCGCAUGGGGGCGAAAGACUAAUCGAACCUUCUAGUAGCUGGUUUCCGCCGA